CCUACGGGGGGCAGCAGUGGGGAAUUUUGGACAAUGGGCGCAAGCCUGAUCCAGCCAUGCCGCGUGCAGGAUGAAGGCCUUCGGGUUGUAAACUGCUUUUGUACGGAACGAAAAGGUUUGGCCUAAUACGCUGAACUCAUGACGGUACCGUAAGAAUAAGCACCGGCUAACUACGUGCCAGCAGCCGCGGUAAUACGUAGGGUGCGAGCGUUAAUCGGAAUUACUGGGCGUAAAGCGUGCGCAGGCGGUUAUGUAAGACAGAUGUGAAAUCCCCGGGCUCAACCUGGGAACUGCAUUAGUGACUGCAUAGCUGGAGUACGGCAGAGGGGGAUGGAAUUCCGCGUGUAGCAGUGAAAUGCGUAGAUAUGCGGAGGAACACCGAUGGCGAAGGCAAUCCCCUGGGCCUGUACUGACGCUCAUGCACGAAAGCGUGGGGAGCAAACAGGAUUAGAUACCCCAGUAGUC
rnacentral:rRNA from 1 species